AAGCAAAAUCAAGAGAACUCCUCUCAACGGCAGGUGGGAGGAAACAUGAAAACAUGAAUUACCAUCCACUUCCUCUCUCUCUCACAGCAAUGCACGGCUGUUUUGACGUAGUGAAAGCACUUCUUGAGCGGUGCCCAUAUGAACCUGACAGCAGGGACAAAUGCGGAGUGACUCCCUUUAUGGAUGCGAUACAGAACGGGCACAUCGACAUAGCCCAGCUGCUUCUAGAAAAGCAUCAGGUAUGGUGUCAAAAGACCCACACU